rnacentral:lncRNA from 1 species
CUUCUUCAGACACCUCUCCAGUAGAGGAAGGAAGUCCCUGCUUCCUUUGCUGCUAGGUUGGGUAGAAAUCCAGGUUCCACACUUGGCAUCCAUUAAGGCCUGAGGUUUUAGACUACCUUGUUACAGUCUUUAAGAAUGAAAGUCCAGGCUCUUCAAUCACACUUUGCUGAUAUGGAUGAGGGCUGCACCUUUCCUGGCCAUUUGGCUAGAGACGGCUGAUUUUCAUUGCUAUUUUACUGUUUUUGUUUCUGCACAUUGAUGUUUCCAGGUUACCGGCUUCUUCAGUUCUAAGCCUGAGAUAUAUGAGUCAAAAAGAAAACUCAGAAAACUCUCUACCAUGUUGUUCUUCAGGUGUCAGAUUUCCUAUCUGGUAUGCCUUCUUCUUUCUACCUUUCAGCAUCUUUUUAUGUUUGUUUUAUAUAUAAUUCCCAAGAUUUCUCAUUUUGUUUAGUUGAAGGAAUAGAGAAAAGUACAUCUGUUCUAUCUUCCUGGAAGUGAAAACCUACAACACUUAAAAAAACAGUAUUAUGUACAAUAAACUGCGCAUAUUUAAAGUAUACUGUUUGAUAAGUUUGUAUUUACAUAAGCACUCAUUAAAUUUGCAAACCAAUCUUAAAAUUUAUAUGGACAGGGAAAAAAAUUAAAAUAGUUGAAACAAUUUUGAAA